CUAAACACAGUCAGCGCAUUGCUCAUUUUAAAAAUCCUACAUUAAAUUUGCAGACGGAAAAUGAGUUUUCAAAAUAUUUUUAUUAAAGACGAGAAAGGACAGGUAAGAACAAGUAAGUGUGGAUUCAGAGGAGGAACUUAAGAACAUACUGUUGGAAGAGCUUCCGAAGAAGAUUCUUUCACGAAUGCAAACGGGACCUCAGAUUAAUCUUCGAGGGCAAACAACUGGAGGAUGCUCGUACACUUUGGUUCUUAUGGCAUACUAAACGAAUCUACUAUACAUAAGUUCUUAUUCUACGAGGUGGAGGAGGUCCACCUCCAUCUGAGAUGAAAGAUAAAGAAAUACCCAGGACUGGAUCAAUGGAAGCAUUAGCUUCAAUGCAGCAGACUGAGCCAGAACCCAACAGAUCAUGUCUGAUUAUGUAGUUCAGUUCAGCCUCAUAUAAAUCCAUACACUGUGGACUCAUCACGUGUAAUACAUUUACAAUUACUACCAUAAAAUACACUGGCACACAUUCUCUCUGAUUUUUAGCCUCUUAGAGUAAAAUAGUAUCAUAACACCUUGUACAAAUAUGAAAAAUAUAAACGGUCACAAUGAACUGAUCACCUGUACCAAAAACCCAGUGUAUAGUUAAAGAGUCAGCAGUUAACAGAAUAAUAACCCUUCCAUAAAGUACACAGAUUCACUCUGUCUCAGGAGAUCUCAGUGAUGACUGAAACCUUUAUUACCCGCAUUUCUCAUGUUAAGGGCCAAUGAUAAAAUCUCUUGUGUCACAAAUAUUUUACUUUUUACUGAAGAGGCUGAAAUCAGAACAGAAUACAUGGAUAUUGAAUUCCAAGGUAGUAAAUUUGAACAAAAUAUGAACAACAAUGUUUAGGCUCCAUUAAUAUUCUUAAAACUGACCCUU